UACGAAGGUCCCAAGCGUUGUUCGGAAUCACUGGGCGUAAAGGGAGCGUAGGCUGUGAGGUAAGUCGGAUGUGAAAUCCCGGGGCUCAACCCCGGAACUGCAUUCGAUACUGCUUUACUAGAGGACUGGAGAGGAGAUUGGAAUUCUCGGUGUAGCAGUGAAAUGCGUAGAUAUCGAGAGGAACACCUGUGGCGAAAGCGAAUCUCUGGACAGUUCCUGACGCUGAGGCUCGAAGGCUAGGGGAGCGAAAGGG
rnacentral:rRNA from 1 species